AUUGAACGCUGGCGGCAGGCCUAACACAUGCAAGUCGAGCGGCAGCGGGAAAGUAGCUUGCUACUUUUGCCGGCGAGCGGCGGACGGGUGAGUAAUGCCUGGGAAAUUGCCCAGUCGAGGGGGAUAACAGUUGGAAACGACUGCUAGUACCGCAUACGCCCUACGGGGGAAAGCAGGGGACCUUCGGGCCUUGCGCGAUUGGAUAUGCCCAGGUGGGAUUAGCUAGUUGGUGAGGUAAUGGCUCACCAAGGCGACGAUCCCUAGCUGGUCUGAGAGGAUGAUCAGCCACACUGGAACUGGGACACGGUCAAGACUCCUACGGGAGGCAGCAGUGGGGAAUAUUGCACAAUGGGGGAAACCCUGAUGCAGCCAUGCCGCGUGUGUGAAGAAGGCCUUCGGGUUGUAAAGCACUUUCAGCGAGGAGGAAAGGUUGAUGCCUAAUACGUAUCAACUGUGACGUUACUCGCAGAAGAAGCACCGGCUAACUCCGUGCCAGCCGCCGCCGUAA
rnacentral:rRNA from 1 species